rnacentral:siRNA from 1 species
UGCACGUACGUGUGUGUGGU